rnacentral:miRNA from 2 species
UGUUAUAGUAUUCCACCUUCCC